AUGAGCUCUGCCGGCACGACGGCGGCCGGUGGAACAUCGUCGGUUGCGCUAGGUUUUGGAAAGGCAAAGACUACUGGACAGUUGUCGCGCAGGCUCGUCGGGAGUAGCGGACGGGCGGCUCGUCGUCUGGCCCGGGCGGCUCGUCGUCUGGCCCGGGCGGCUCGUCCUCCGCCCCGCGACGGCCUCGCCGUCCCCCUCCGGCAGCCGUCUCCAAGCUCGUCUCGCCAUCCGGUUCCCACCCUCGCUGGGCCCGCCUCCCCUCCCGUCAUCGAGAUCCCGCCGAAGCAGUUCGCAUUGCGCGAGGAUGGCGACCCCGACGACUGCCCCGGCUACCUCAUCGCACUGCGGGCGUCGCAGGCAGAAGCGGCGGCCGCGGCGGCGGCCGCGAAGGCGAGAGAGGCCGCCGAGCUGCAGGCCGCACUCGACGCCGCGGCGGCUAUGGCGGCGGCAGCAGAGGCCACCGAGCUGUAG
rnacentral:rRNA from 1 species